AAUCAACGCUGGCGGCGUGCCUCAGACAUGCAAGUCGAACGCGAAAUUUCCCUUCGGGGAGAAAGUAGAGUGGCGCACGGGUGGGUAACACGUAGGUAAUCUACCUUUGGAUGGGGAAUAACACCGAGAAAUCGGUGCUAAUACCGCAUAAUGCAGCGGCACCUAAUGGUGACAGUUGUUGAAGCGGGGGAUCGCAAGACCUCGCGUCUAAAGAGGAGCCUGCGGCGGAUUAGCUAGUUGGUAAGGUAAUGGCUUACCAAGGCGACGAUCCGUAACCGGCCUGAGAGGGCGGUCGGUCACACUGACACUGACAUACGGGUCAGACUCCUACGGGAGGCAGCAGUCGGGAAUUUUGGGCAAUGGGCGAAAGCCUGACCCAGCAACGCCGCGUGAAGGAUGAAAUCCCUCGGGAUGUAAACUUCGCAAGAACGGGAAGAAUAAAGCCGGUGUGAAUACCACCGGCGAUGACGUACCGUUUGUAAGCUCCGGCUAACUCCGUGCCAGCAGCCGCGGUAAUAC
rnacentral:rRNA from 1 species